rnacentral:lncRNA from 1 species
AAGAAAUGAUGGUAUAAGAGGGAUUUGAACCUGUAAAAAUUCUGAUAGAAAUCCUUUAGAACCUUCUAGAAAGGACUAAAGCACACUUCCUGCCUCAAACUUGAGGCACAAGUCAAAAAUUGAAGGAUCAUUUGGACAAAAUGCAAUUUGAGUUAAGGACUGAGAAGAAAACAAGGAAAAAUCCGAUACCCUAAAAGCUUUACUAUAAAAUGAACCAUCUAGGCAUUGUAAAAGGGAUCUGGAACUUUCCUUUAGAAUCCUAGAGAGAAAAAAUACAUAUUAGCAUCUUGUUAUGUCUGUGAGAAGCUAUCAGUGCUGAAUUUGGUCAUUUUGAGUUUAGUUCUCUCACAAUUCAGUUGAAACUCUGGGCAUACUGUGCGAUUGGUUAGCUGAUUGCUUGAGUGACUCAUUACAUUUUACUCAUAGGCUCCUAUUUUGCUGAAUUACAGGUAUAUUUCCUUGUUCAUUUGAUGUAUUGAAGCUAAAAAUAUGAAAUAUUCUCAAGUAUGAAGAUUCAAGUACAUUAGUUUAUUUAAAACUCCUCCCCUGUUCUUCCCCUUUUAGUUCAGACAUAUGUAAUAAUAGGAUGAUUAUCUAGUUGUACUUAACUUUUGGACUGAUUCAUUUUGUAAUAAUUGGACUUUAGAGACUGUUUCACUUGUAAUAACUGGACAUUCGAUUCAUUUUUUUGUAUGCACUAUUGCUAGUGCUGGUAGUGGAUGUAUGACUGUCCUAGAUGGUUAUUUCAUGUUGUUUAGAACUAAGGAAAUCAUGACAUAUAGGUUCAAAAAUUAUUGAAAUUCAGUCACCAUGUAUGGUGAAGUGUAC